rnacentral:rRNA from 1 species
GACUUUGACCAGAACACCCUGAAUGUGCCCAAUCUCAUCCGAUCUCUGAAAAUAAGCAAGGUUUGAGCCUGGCUAGUACUUGGAUGUGAGGCUGCCUGGGAAUUUCUUGAUGUCAUAGGCU